rnacentral:lncRNA from 1 species
ACAUAUAACUAAGGUCAGAAGUGGCUGUAAAAUAUAAAGUCAAAAUACAAAAGAAUGUCACUUCUUUUACUAUGCUAUUAGACUCAUCAGAGUGUGGGAACGAUCAUGCACUUAAGUUUUAUGGAUCCACGGAAUCCUUAUAAUCUUCGAUGGGUAGGUCAGCUGGUGGUUCCUCAUUCUUUUCAUCAUCUGGGUGGGGGCAUAGAAAGAGUGAGUUCCAUAUGCUCAGUAAGGAACACAGUAUUUAAAUAAC